rnacentral:rRNA from 1 species
ACUGCUCAGUAACACGUGGACAACCUACCCUCAGCACGGGGAUAAACCCGGGAAACUGGGUAUAAUACCCGAUAGUUCUGGGAUGCUGGAAUGCUUCCAGGACGAAAGCUCCGGCGACUGAGGAUGGGUCUGCGGCCUAUCAGGUAGUAGUGGGUGUAAUGUACCUACUAGCCUACGACGGGUACGGGUCGUGAGAGCGAGAGCCCGGAGAUGGAUUCUGAGACACGAAUCCAGGCCCUACGGGGUGCAGCAGGCGCGAAAACUUUACAAUGCUGGCAACAGCGAUAAGGGGACCUCGAGUGCCAGGAUACAAUCUUGGCUGUCGUAAUGCCUAAAAAGCAUUGCAUAGCAAGGGCCGGGCAAGACCGGUGCCAGCCGCCGCGGUAACACCGGCGGCUCGAGUGGUAACCGCUAUUAUUGGGUCUAAAGGGUCUGUAGCCGGCCGGAUAAGUCUCUUGGGAAAUCCAGCAGCUCAACUGUUGGGCUUUCAGGAGAUACUGUUUCGGCUCGAGGCCGGGAGAGGUGAGAGGUACUUCAGGGGUAGGGGUGAAAUCUUGUAAUCCUUGAAGGACCACCAGUGGCGAAGGCGUCUCACCAGAACGGACCUGACGGCAAGGGACGAAAGCUAGGGGCACGAACCGGAUUAGAUACCCGGGUAGUCCUAGCCGUAAACGAUACUCGCUAGGUGUCAGCCACGGUGCGACCGUGGUUGGUGCCGUAGGGAAGCCGUGAAGCGAGCCACCUGGGAAGUACGGCCGCAAGGCUGAAACUUAAAGGAAUUGGCGGGGGAGCAC